UCCGAUAUGGUCUAGUGGCUAGGAUACGGGAUACCUGGCUCUCACCCAGGAGGCUCGGGUUCGAUUCCCGGUAUCGGAA